rnacentral:rRNA from 1 species
GACGAACGCUGGCGGCGUGCUUAACACAUGCAAGUCGAACGGAAAGGCCCUGCUCUUGCGGGGUGCUCGAGUGGCGAACGGGUGAGUAACACGUGUGUAACCUGCCCCUGACUUUGGGAUAACUUCAGGAAACUGGGGCUAAUACCGGAUAGGAGCUCCUGCUGCAUGGUGGGGGUUGGAAAGUUUCGGCGGUUGUGGAUGGACUCGCGGCUUAUCAGCUUGUUGGUGGGGUAGUGGCUUACCAAGGCUUUGACGGGUAGCCGGCCUGAGAGGGUGGCCGGCCACAUUGGGACUGAGGUACGGCCCAGACUCCUACGGGCGGCAGCAGUGGGGAACAUUGCACAGUGGGCGGAAGCCUGAUGCAGCGGCGCCGCGUGCGGGAUGCCGGCCUUCGGGUUGUAAACCGCUUUCGCCUGUGACGAAGCGUGAGUGACGGUACUGGGUAAAGAAGCACCGGCUAACUACGUG